rnacentral:rRNA from 1 species
CAGUCGCCGCGGUAAAACGUAGGUGGCAAGCGUUGUCCGGAAUUAUUGGGCGUAAAGGGCUCGCAGGCGGUUUCUUAAGUCUGAUGUGAAAGCCCCCGGCUCAACCGGGGAGGGUCAUUGGAAACUGGGAAACUUGAGUGCAGAAGAGGAGAGUGGAAUUCCACGUGUAGCGGUGAAAUGCGUAGAGAUGUGGAGGAACACCAGUGGCGAAGGCGACUCUCUGGUCUGUAACUGACGCUGAGGAGCGAAAGCGUGGGGAGCGAACAGGAUUAGAUACCCCGGUAGUCCCUGUCUCUUAUAC